ACCACUUAUUACUGCCAACCCAUUAACAGUAUUGAAUAAUUUCAUAAAUUAUGAAAACUACCAUGCUAGAACUAGUAACAAGAAAAUGAAUUUCUCCAAAGUGUAAAUAUAAACCAAAACGGACAACCCAUUGGUAAUUAACGACUCUGAACCCAUUAUAGCAAAAUAUCUAGAAAACCCUAUACUUAAUACCGUUAACCUUACACAAGAACUCUUCUGGAAAGAUUAAAAGGAAGAGAAGGAACUCGGCAAAUUUUAACCCCGCCUGUUUACCAAAAACAUCGCCUCUUGCUUAGUUAUAAGAGGUCCCGCCUGCCCAGUGUUUCAAUCAACGGCCGCGUGAUCUAAACGCGCGAAGGUAGCAUAAUAAUUUGUUCUUUAAAUGAGGACUUGUAUCAAUGGCAUCACGAGGGUUAUACUGUCUCCUCUCCCCAAUCAGUGAAACUAAUCUCCCUGUGAAAAAGCAGGAAUAAAAACAUAAGACGAGAAGACCCCAUGGAGCUUAAAACAAGGCAGCAAUUCAAUAACAAAAUCAGAACAAUCUUAAGCCCUGUAUGCCAGUUUUAGGUUGGGGUGACCACGGAGCAAAGCAAAGCCUCCACAACGAGAAGGGAUUAUUCCCUUACCCAAGAGACACGCCUCUAAGAAUUAUUAAAAUAACGUCUAAUGAUCCGAUUAUCGACCAAUGGACCAAGUUACCCUGGGGAUAACAGCGCAAUCCACUCUGAGAGCUCCUAUCGACGAGUGGGCUUACGACCUCGAUGUUGGAUCAGGAUAUCCCAGUGGUGCAGCCGCUACUAAAGG
rnacentral:rRNA from 1 species